GGAAAGAUGGCUUCUACCUGCAAGAAUAUUUUCAUUGAGAGCGUGGUGGGAUCUUACUGCAAAGUUCCCUGUGAUGCUCUUUUCAUCCUAAGGAACACAAACAAUCCUAAGGGUGGAAAUACUUAAAUCGGGACUUGGGCUAGGAACAGGUGAUGUUCUACCCAGGUUGAUUAAGGAUUGGAUGCGUAUGUUGGCCUGCUGACCGAGGACCCUUUAACUGGUCACAUGCCUCGUCAUGGGUAAGCUUUGCCUCGGGUAGACUAAGGCCAGAAUAAGAUAACACGAAAUGGGCGUGGAGCGGUGGCGAGAGUAGCGUGUACCCUCCGUGGCAAGAGGCUGGACGGUGGUGUAUCUGUGCUCUCGGUUUGCGUGAACCUGAUCUGGUCUUAAGAACCCCGGUGGCGAGUUGACAUAUGCAAGGGUUAAGUGCUACAUAUGUCGUGUGAUUGGAGAUCCUCAGCUGAGUAUAAUCGAUUCGGAUCGCCGUACCUUCGCGGUUAUGAAGACUUGGUCACUGACCUGCAACCUAAGUCAGGAUGUGAACAUUAUGAAUAAAAAUGAUGUUGUAUUGAUGAGAUGGUGAAAGUAGACCAUAUGCAAACAAAGUCUAUUAAUACUUAAUCUGGCAUUAAAAUAUUGAAAGUAAGGACUCACUUUAGUAAGCUAUUUCUGCAAAAGUAUCUAAGUUGAUUCUUGCUAAAGCCUCUCCUUGAUUCCCAAAUCCAGCAUAUCCUUGAGAGUCUUUUCUUUAGUCGGGUAAGUCUUGCUGAGUAAUUCCAUACUCAGGGUUUUAUUCCCUGUUGUUUUUCAGGUUUUAACUUUGUGCUGUUGUUGAUGGUGUUAAGUGCCGGUGGGCUCGGCCUUCUUAUAAGUCUAAGUAACUCUUCUAUACUUCUUAUUGAGGAUGAUCACUUAAGCUAGCAUAUAUUUCAAACUUAUACUUUUGUAAUCACUCCGAUAAAAUAAUGUAAAAUUUUUGUAACCUAUAAAAUUUGGUAAUAAGAUUUCCGCUGC
rnacentral:lncRNA from 1 species